CUUGCCGGAACGGCAAUGUUCGACCGCCUCGUCGGCUGCGGCCUUGACGGCGCGGACAUCCAU
rnacentral:sRNA from 1 species